rnacentral:lncRNA from 1 species
UUUUUUUAUUUUUCGUCCGGAGUCUCAUCCCGACUUAUGGGGGAACCAUAGUCUCCAUCAUUCUUUCCUCACUGGGACAAUGCUCUAAUAAUGAUGAUCAUCACACUUUUAUUUUUCUUAUAACUCAACAAUUACAACUCGAUACUUAGAACAAAAUAUGACUCUAUGUGAAUGUAUCCGGCGGUGUACCGAGAUAUGCAAUAUGACAAUGAUGGAGUGUGUCAUGAUAAACGGAAUGGUGGAAAGUUGCAUGGCAAUAUAUCUCGGAAUGGCUAUGGAAAUGCCAUAAUAGGUAGGUAUGGUGGCUGUUUUGAGGAAGGUAUAUGGUAGGUGUAUGAUACCGGCGAAAGGUGCGCGGUAUUAGAGAGCCUAGCAAAGGUGGAAGGGCGAGAGUGUGUAUAAUCCAUGGACUCAACAUUAGUCAUAAAGAACUCAUAUACUUAUUGCAAAAAUCUAGAAGUUAUCAAAGCAAAGUAUUACACACAUGCUCCUAGGGGGAUAGAUUGGUAGGAAAAGACCAUCGCUCAUCCCCGACCGCCACUCAUAAGGAAGACAAUAAAUAAAUAAAUCAUGCUCCGAGUUCAUCACAUAACGGUUCACCAUACGUGCAUGCUACGGGAAUCACAAACUUUAACACAAGUAUUCUUUAAAUUCACAACUACUCAACUAGCAUGACUUUAAUAUUAUCACCUCCAUAUCUCAAAAAAAUUAUCAUGCUUCAAUCUUUUCUUAGUAUUCAACACACUCAAAAGAAAGUUUCACAAAUCUUGAAUACCAAGCAUAUUAUUAUUAAGAAAACUACCAUGCUAUUAAGAGACUCUCGAAAUAAUUUAAGUGAAGCACCACCGUGCUCUAAAAGAUCUAGGUGAAGCACAUAGAGCAAAAUUAUAACGCUCAAAAGAUAUAAGUGAAGCACAUAGAGCAAAAUUAUCUAGCUCAAAAGAUAUAAGUGAAGCACAUAGAGCAAGACUACUUAGCUCAAAAGAUAUAAGUGAAGCACAUAGAGUAUUCUAUCAAAUUUUAAUUCAUGUAUGGCUCUCUCAAAAGGUGUGUACAGCAAGGAUGAUUGUGGCAUACUAAGACACAAAGACACAAAUAAUACAAGACGCUCCAAGCAAAACACAUAUCAUGUUGGUGAAUAAAAAUAUAUCUCCAAGUAAAUUACCGAUGGAAGUGGACGAAAGAGGGGAUGCUUUCCGGGGCAUCCCCAAGCUUUGACUUUUUGGUGUCCUUGGAUUAUCUUGGGGGUGCCAUGGACAUCCCCAAGCUUAGGCUCUUGCCACUCCUUGUUCCAUGAUCCAUCAAAAGAAUUCACCCAAAACUUGAAAACUUCACAACACAAAACUCAAAAUAGAAAACUCGUGAGCUCCGUUAGCGAAAGAAAACAAAAGACCACUUCAAGGUACUAUAAUGAACUCAUUCUUUAUUUACAUUGGUUUAAACCUACUGCAUUACAACUUCUCUAUGGAUUAUAAACUAUUUUACUAGCCAUAGAUUCAUCAAAAUAAGCAAACAACACACGAAAAACAGAAUCUGUUAAAAACAGAACAGUCUGUAGUAAUCUGUAGCUAGCGCAAGAUCUGGAACCCCACAAAUUCUAAAAUAAAUUGCUGGACGUGAGGAGUUUAUCUAUUAAUCAUAUUAAAAAAUAAUUAACUAAAUAGCACUCUUCAAAUAAAAAUGACAGCAGUUCUCGUGAGCGCUAAAGUUUCUGUUUUUUACAACAAGUUCAACAAGACUUUCUCCAAGUCUUCCCAACGGUUCUACUUGGCACAAACACUAAUUAAACACAAAAAAACACAACCAAAACAGAGGCUAAAUAAUUUAUUUAUUACUAAACAGGAGCAAAAGGCAAGGAAUAAAAAUAAAAUUGCGUUGCCUCCCAACAAGCGCUAUCGUUUAACGCCCCUAGCUAGGCAUAAAAGCGAGGAUAGAUCUAGGUAUUGCCAUCUUUGGUAGGCAAUCCAUAAGUGGCUCUCGUGAUAGUUUUGUAUGGUAAUUUUAUUUUCUUUCUUGGAAAGUGUUCCAUGCCCUUUUUUAAUGGAAAUUGAAAUCUAAUAUUCCUUUCCUUCAUAUCAAUAAUUGCACCAAUCGUUCUAAGGAAAGGUCUACCAAGAAUAAUAGGGCAAGAAGGAUUGCAAUCUAUAUCAAGAACAAUGAAAUCUACGGGCACAUAAUUCCUAUUUGCAACAAUAAGAACAUCAUUAAUCCUUACCAUAGGUUUCUUAAUAGUGGAAUCCGCAAGAUGCAAGUUUAGAGAGUAAUCAUCAAAAUUACGGAAAUCUAGUAAAUCACACAAAGUCUUGGGAAUAGUAGAGACACUAGCACCCAAAUCACAUAAAGCAUAAAACUCAUGAUCUUUAAUUUUAAUUUUAACAGUUGGUUCCCACUCAUCAUAGAGUUUUCUAGGGAUAGAAACUUUCAACUCAAGUUUUUCUUCAUAAGAUUGCAUCAAGGCAUCAACAAUAUGUUCGGUGAAGGCUUUAUUUUGACUAUAAGCAUGUGGAGAAUUUAGCACAGAUUGCAACAAGGAAAUACAAUCAAUUAAAGAGCAACUUUCAUAAUUAAAUUCCUUGAAGUCCAAUAUAGUGGGUUUAGCAACAUCUAAAUUUUUAUUUCUUUCAAUCCCACUUUCAUCAAUUUCAUCAUUAAGAUCUAAAUACUCCGAAUUUUUAGAACGCCUUCUAGGUAAAGGAAGAUCAUAUUCAGUUUCAUCAAGAUUCAUAUUGCAAAAUAAAGAUUUAAUAGGAGACACAUCAAUAACUUUUAGAUCUUCAUCUUGAUUUUCAUAGGUAUUGGAAGAACACGCUUUAAUAGAGGCAUCUUUGGAAGCACGCAUCCUAGCGGUUCUUUCCUUGCACUCAUCCAUGGAAAUUCUCAUGGCUUUGAGAGACUCAUUGAUAUCAUGCUUAGGAGGAAUAGAUCUAAGCUUUAAAGAAUCAACCUCAAGAGAAAUUCUAUCAACGUUUCUAGCCAAAUCAUCAACUUUAAGCAAUUUCUCCUCAAGCAAAGCAUUAAAAUUCUUUUAUGAAUUCAUAAACUCUUUAACACUAUUCUCAAAUUCAGAGGGCAUCUUAUUAUAAUUUCCAUAAGAGUUGUUGUAGGAAUUACCAUAAUUAUUAGAAGGAUUACUAGGAUAUGGCCUAGGAUUAAAAUUCCCUCUAUAAGCGUUGUUACCAAAAUUAUUCCUACCAACAAAAUUCACAUCCAUAGAUUCAUUGUUAUUCUCAAUCAAAGUAGACAAAGGGAUAUCAUUAGGAUCAGAAGAAACACUCUUAGUAGCAAAUAAUUUCAUAAGUUCAUCCAUCUUUCCACUCAACACAUUAAUUUCUUCUAUCGCAUGCACUUUUUUAUUAGAAGAUCUUUUAGUAUGCCAUUGAGAAUAAUUAACCAUAAUAUUAUCUAGGAGUUUAGUAGCAUCUCCUAAAGUGAUUUCCAUAAAAGUGCCUCCCGCGGCCGAAUCUAAAAGAUUUCUAGAAGCAAAAUUCAAUCCGGCAUAAUUUUUUUGUAUAAUCAUCCACAAAUUCAAACCAUGAGUAGGGCAAUUACGUAUCAUUAAUUUCAUUCUCUCCCAAGCUUGUGCAACAUGUUCAUGAUCAAGUUGUUUAAAGUUCAUAAUAUCGUUUCUAAGAGAGAUGAUCUUAGCAGGAGGAAAAUACUUAGAGAUAAAAACAUCUUUGCACUUGUUCCAUGAAUCAAUACUAUCCUUAGGCAAAGACGAAAACCAAGCUUUAGCACGAUCUCUAAGCAAAAAAGGAAAUAGAUUCAAUUUAACAACAUCAUUAUUGACAUCUUUUUUCUUUUGCAUAUCACAUAAAUCAACGAAGCUAUUCAGAUGAGUAGCGGCAUCUUCACUAGGAAGGUCGGCGAAUUGAUAUUUCAUAACAAGAUUCAACAAAGAAGUAUUAAUUUCACAAGAUUCAACAUCGGUAAGAGGAGCAAUCGGAGUGCUAAGGAAAUCAUUAUUGUUGGUAUUGGUGAAGUCACACAAUUUAGUAGUAUCUUGAGCCAUCGCGACAAGCGAGCAAUCUAACACACGAGCAAAUAAAAGCAAAUGGGCAAAAAGAGGCAAAUAGAGAGGGAGGAUAGGGAGAGAGAGGGCGAAUAAAACGGCAAGGGUGAAUUGGGGGGAGAGGAAAACGAGAGGCAAAUGGCAAAUAAUGUAAUGCGAGAGAUAGGGAUUGUGAUGGGUACUUGGUAUGUUGACUUUUUGCGUAGACUCCCCGGCAACGGCGCCAGAAAUCCUUCUUGCUACAUCUUGAGCUUGCGUUGGUUUUACCUAAAGAGGAAGGGAUGAUGCAGCAGAGUAGCGUAAGUAUUUCCCUCAGUUUUUGAGAACCAAGGUAUCAAUCCAGUAGGAGGCCACACUCAAAUCCCUCAUACCUGCACAAAGCGAUAGCUACUCGCAACCAACGCGAUUAGGGGUUUUCAAGCCCUUCACGGUCACUUACGAGAGUGAGAUCUGAUAGAUAUAAUAUUUUUGGUAUAAAGAUGCAAAGUAAAAAGUAAAAGCAAAGUAAAAACAGAGCAAGAUUAAAGUGAUGGAGAUUGAUAUGAUGAGAAUAGACCCGGGGGCCAUAGGUUUCACUAGUGGCUUCUCUCAAGAGCAUAAGUAUUCUACGGUGGGUGAACAAAUUACUGUUGAGCAAUUGACAUAACUGAGCAUAGUUAUGAGAAUAUCUAGGCAUGAUCAUGUAUAUAGGCAUCACGUCCGUGACAAGUAGAUCGAAACGAUUCUGCAUCUACUAUUAUUACUCCACUCAUCGACCGCUAUCCAGCAUGCAUCUAGAGUAUUAAGUUAAAAAUAGAGUAAUGCCUUAAGCAAGAUGACAUGAUGUAGAGAGAUAAAUUCAUGCAAUAUGAAAUAAACCUCAUCUUGUUAUCCUCGAUGGCAACGAUACAAUACGUGCCUUGCUGCCCCUUCUGUCACUGGGUAAGGACACCGCAAGAUCGAACCCAAAGCUAAGCACUUCUCCCAUGGCAAGAACUACCAAUCUAGUUGGCCAAACCAAACGGAUAAUUCGAAGUGACUUGCAAAGAUAACCAAUCAUACAUAAAAGAAUUCAGAGAAGAUUCAAAUAUUAUUCAUAGAUAGACUUGAUGAUAAACCCACAAUUCAUUGGUCUCAACAAACACACUGCAAAAAGAAGAUUACAUCGAAUAAAUCUCCACAAGAGAGGGGGAGAACUUUGUAUUGAUAUUCAAAGAGAGAGAAGAAGCCAUCUAGCUACUAACUAUGGACCCGAAGGUCUGAGGUAAACUACUCACACUUCAUCGGAGGGGCUAGGAUGAUGUAGAAGCCCUCCGUGAUGACGGCCCUCUUCCGGCGGAGCUCCGGAACAGGCCCCAAGAUGGGAUCUCGUGGAUACAAAAAGUUGCGGCGGUGGAAUUAGGUUUUUGGCUCCUGUUCUGAUCGUUUGGGGGUACGUGUGUAUAUAUAGGAGGAAGAAGUACGCCAGAGGAGCAACGAGGGGCCCACGAGGCAGGGGGGCACGCCCUAGGGGGGCGCCCCCACCCUCGUGACCGCCUCUUUUGUUCCUUGGAGCAGGGUCCAAGUCUCCUGGAUCACGUUCGGUGAGAAAAUCAUGUUCCCGAAGCCGUUUGGACUCCGUUUGAUAUUCCGUUUAUCCGAAACACUGAAAUAGGCAAAAAAACAGCAAUUCUGGGCUGGGCCUCCGGUUAAUAGGUUAGUCCCAAAAAUAAUAUAAAAGUGGAAAAUAAAGCCCAAUAUAGUCCAAAACAGUAGAUAAUAUAGCAUGGAGCAAUCAAAAAUUAUAGAUACGUUGGAGACGUAUCAGACGCGCAAGGUAUCGACAACCAAGAGGAGAAGAGAAGAAGCAAUGAGCACAAGGUGCACGAGGAGCAAAGUGAUGGCAAGAAGCUCAAGGAACAGAAAGAAGCCCCAACGCUAUAUAUGAAUAAUUAUGAAGCAUUAUGAAUAAGGGAUGAUGUUGUAUUAUGAAACAUUAUGAAACAUUUAUCACUUGACAUGUUGUAUUUCUGUUGGAUGAUGUUGGACCUGUGUUAGAAGUAUGUUUGACAUGAUGUUUAAAUCUGUUGGAUGAUGUUUGAAUGAGCACAUGGUUUUCCCUUUUUUUUGAUUUUUUUGAAUUUUGUUUUGCUCAUUUGAAUUCUGGUCAAACCUAACUUUGACCAAGAUUUAAACAAGUCUAAAACAUCAAAAUGAAAAACUAAACAUGGAUCCUUCUUAGUCAAUCCAAAAUGAAGCUGUGGUGAGGUUUUUGAAAUUUUCAUGAAAAAUGUGCUAAAAAGAGGGGUCCAAAGGUAGGGUACACGGCAUCAUUUGUAAGCAAGGUUUUUUUCGACCUUGUCUAAAUCAGCCAAAUAACUUUCCUACACAUAUAUUCUAUAUAUACAGACUAUGUGCGCUGGUUUUUCCAUUUUUUAUUUUUUUUUAUUUUGUUUUGCUCAUUUGAAUUUUGGUCAAACUUAACUUUGACCAAGAUUUAAACAAGUGUAAAACAUCAAAAUGAAAAACUAAGCCUGGAUCCUUCUUAGUUACUCCAAAAUGAAGUUGUGGUGAGUUUUUUGAAUUUGUCAUGUUCAUUUCCCCAAAACACUUCUCUUCACUUCAUACAAGAGAGUUUGAAAUACUCGAGAUAUCACACAAUACACAUGAACUUAUCGUUUAAAUGUAUGUAAACCUUGUUUAUCAACUUAAAUCGUUAGUAUAUGACAUAAGAAGACUAUGUGCACAGGUUUUUUAUUUUUCUGAUUUUUAUUUAAUUUAUUAUGCUCAUUUGAAAUCUGGUCAAACAUAGCUUUGACUGCUCCAAACCCCUCCCAAACCACGCUAACCCUAGCGCUGAACAAGGACCGUUCACCUAACCCUAGCGGCGAUCAAGGGUCGUCGAUCUAACCCUUCUAGAAGGAAUCUGCGGGGAGGAGGGGGGCGAUCCGCGAGAUGCAAUCUGAUUGGCUGGGAGAUUGUUUUUUAAAACAAAUAUCGAGCGCGCUGGAUGGACCGUUGGGCCGUCUCGUUGUUUGGGCCUGAGACCGCAGUAAAUAGCCCGUCUCAGUCUUUCCAGGCAUUGCAUGCAUGGGAGGCGGCGAUGUGGGUUUGCAUGCGCGGGAGGCGGCGAUGUGCAUGCAUGCGAGCGAGGCGCGCUAGGCGAGCUAGGCUAGCGAAGCGAGCUGGGUGGUUCAGGGUAGUGGUUCAGGGUAGCGAGUCAGAUGCACCGCCUGGUCAAAGAGUUAUGCAAUGAUUCAGAUGCACGCACGCGCCCCAUGCAUCGUUUUCGUGCAAAAAUUUAAGAGUGCAAAACGUAACGGAUACACACACACGUCCGGAUACACACACACGUCCGGAUUCACACACGCACCAUUCUCAUCCUUUCUCUCUUCCUCUCCCACCCACAAGCCAGAUCCAAUCCAUUCUCUCCAACUUCAAACACCCAAGCGACCGAGCCCUCCCCAAGUGAGACCAAGUGAAGAUGCAGUUCAACGGCCCGACCUUCAACCGUCCGCCUGUCGUGCCGGAGCUGCGCUACCCACUGGGCGUGCUCGUGGAGAGGGAGCUCCGUGUGUGGGAUAUUUCAAGGUGGAGGGGUUCCGUCGAACUCACCCGCGCCUUCCUCAGAGCCGGCUAUGCCCACCUCCCACGAGGCUCGCCGAGGAUGUUCACCCUCAACGAGGUUCAUCCUCCUACUGCUCACGGUCACCUUCACCAACCCGUUUGACGCGCGCGAGCUCCUCGACCAAGUCUUUUGGUGCGGCUGCGAGGCCAUCUUCUUCACCAUAUACAACAUCUACACCAACUAUGAGAGCAUCUUCCCCACUCCAGGCCAGAUGCACUCCCUUCCCUACGACGAGGAGGAGGAGGUUUGAAGAUGAAGAUGGUGUUGAAGGGGCGCGCGCGGCCAAGGUGGAGAAGGAGGUCAAGAAGAAGAUGUUCAAGCCCGGAGUCAAGCUCGUCAUGUUUCGUUUUUUAUUUUGUUGCUUUUCUAUGUCGUGUCGUGUCAUGUUCCGUCAUGUGUCUGUGAACUGUCCGUGAACUUUUUAUUGUAAUGGUACGGUGUGUUGCAUCUUAUCUAAGUUAUUAGGGUUUAUUAUGUGUGUUAAAAAAUGUCCGUGCUCAAACAUAUCAUUUCUUCCCUAAACCAAGUCAUGAAGUUCGAGAACUUGUGGUUUUCAUUAAUGAAAACCCUAAUGAAAAUCGGAGGGGGUGAGAAGCCCUCUGUUUCAUUCAAAAAAACAUAAAUCAUGAACUAACAUGCAAAUUUAUUCCCUUAAAUCCUAAACCAAGUGCCACUCUAACCAAAAUCAUGUGGUAGUGCAAACAUACGUUUUCAACCUUCCAACCCUCCAAAAUUUUAGUGCAAAACAAAGGAAAACCACUCUCACGCAUGUGCAAACAUUCACGGUCUCACUAUUUUUUUGACAAAUUUCAUAGUCUCACUAUGUAUACCUUCCUUCCCUACCCAUGUCAAAGUCUUGCCAUCUGUCCUAGCGAUUAGCAGCGCAGCCCUAAACACCACAAACCCACACGGCGGUCCUGGGUUCGAGUCCCCAGCCGCACCAAUUUUUUGUGCAUUUUCCACCUUCAUUUUUUUAGACAAAUUAUUUUUUUUCUCAAUGUAAUGCCCUUAAAAAAUGUUCAUUUAUUUUGGCACCAGGUGUAAACCUCUACCAGAGCUGAGGCACAUUUUCCAUGACAUUUUGGUCUUUGAUUUAAAUCACGGUGUAUUUGAAUUGGAUUAAUUAACAACUCCAAAAAAUUUCUAACCUUAAUUGUUUGGCUCUCGAAUAAUUCAAUUAGCUUCCACAAAAAGUUUCAGCAUUAUGAUUUACUGCCUAAAUUAAAUCAGAAUAGAAAACAUAAAAAUACGCAAGAGAACCCCCGAAUUGGCCUAAUUGGAUGCAGUUGGCCCAUUAGUCUAGCCUGCACUUGGCUCUACGCUCUGAAUAUGGCCCAAGAGCAACCUUUUUUUGACAGAAAGGCAGCGCAGAGAGCUGCAUUUCAUUGAACAAAAGUUUCUGAAUUCCUCAUUUCUUCUCCUUUUUUCAACAUAUUUAAAUGUUGGUCACUUCUUCUCUUUUUUUUCAACAUUUAAACAACUUUGACCAACAUUUAAACUAGGUGAAUUUCUCAUACAAUUUCAAGAUUACAAAUUCCUCCAUAAUUCAUGUCUUUCCAUACAUUUUCAACAUUACAACCAGUGCGAUUACCAUACCUACAAAUGCACAAAAGUAUUUGUAAAUGGGUAUUGGUAGUGUUUGAUCUUCAAGCUUCCUAACCUUCUUCUUCAACAUCCUAAGCUCAACAGCUAGCUCUCUGCCAGUGCGUGCUUCGCCCUCCAUCUCUUCUUCGUGGCAGCAUGCGCAACCAUUCUUCAUGCUCUUCUUGCAGUUCAUUCAUCAGAGUCUUGGCCAGAGCAUCGACCCAAAGAAAGAAGCAUGUCACCUGCAUGAACACCAAACAGAUCAACCCAUUGCUCAAAGAUCCCGACCAUGAAAAUGGUGCAAUUGCCUCGAUUCUUACCCCAUUCUCGCUGCACACGUAGAACGGACGAUUCUGGUUCCUCGGUGUGUGAGAAACCCUCCGAUCAACGCCCGCCCGGCACCGCGGACAGACGAAGACAGGCAUGUCCACACGCGCCCGGCUCUGCAUCCGCGAGGUGGUGUGGGAGCUUGAGGAAGACAUGGAGCUCGGAGCCGAAGGGGAUCUCAACGCCGCCGCGCCCUCCACAGCUAGCUUCCCACCGCCGCACCCUCCAUAGCUAGCUUCCUGAUGUCUACUACACAACCUUCUUCUUGUAGACAUUGUUGGGCCUCCAAGUGCAGAGGUUUGUAGGACAGUAGCAAAUUUCCCUCAAGUGGAUGACCUAAGGUUUAUCAAUCCGUAGGAGGCAUAGGAUGAAGAUGGUCUCUCUCAAGCAACCCUGCAACCAAAUAACAAAGAGUCUCUUGUGUCCCCAACACACUCAAUACAAUGGUAAAUUGUAUAGGUGCACUAGUUCGGCAAAGAGAUGGUGAUACAAGUGGUAUAUGGAUAGUAGAUAAUAGUUUUUGUAAUCUGAAAUAAUAAAAACAGCGAGGUAGCAAGUGAUAAAAGUGAGCGUAAACGGUAUUGCAAUGAUAGGAAAUAAGGCCUAGGGUUCAUACUUUCGCUAGUGUAAGUUCCCUCAACAAUAAUAACAUAAUUGGAUCACAUAACUAUCCCUCAACAUGCAACAAAGAGUCACUCCAAAGUCACUAAUAGCGGAGAACAAACAAAGAGAUUAUGGUAGGGUAUGAAACCACCUCAAAGUUAUUCUUUCCAAUCAAUCCGUUGGGCUAUUCCUAUAAGUGUCACAAACAACCCUAGAGUUCGUACUAGAAUAACACCUUAAGACACACAUCAACCAAAACCCUAAUGUCACCUAGAUACUCCAAUGUCACCUCAAGUAUCCAUGGGUAUGAUUAUACGAUAUGCAUCACACAAUCUCAGAUUCAUCUAUUCAACCAACACAUAGAACCUCAAAGAGUGCCCCAAAGUUUCUACCGGAGAAUCACGACAAAAACGUGUGCCAACCCCUAUGCAUAGGUUCAUGGGCGGAACCCACAAGUUGAUCACCAAAACAUACAUCAAGUGAAUCAUGUGGUAUCCCAUUGUCACCAUAGAUACGCACGGCAAGACAUACAUCAAGUGUUCUCAAAUCUUUAAAGACUCAAUCCGAUAAGAUAACUUCAAAGGGAAACUCAAUUCAUUACAAGAGAGUAGAGGGGGGAAGAAACAUCAUAGGAUCCAAAUAUAAUAGCAAAGCUCGCGAUACAUCAAGAUCGUAUCACCUCAAGAACACGAGAGAGAGAGAUCAAACACAUAGCUACUGGUACAUGCCCUCAGCCCCGAGGGAGAACUACUCCCUCCUUGUCAUGGAGAGCACCGCGAUGGUGAGAUGGCCACCGGAGAGCGAUUGCCCCCUCUGACAGGGUGCCAGAACGGGUCUAGAUUGGUUUUCAGUGGCUACGGAGGCUUCUGGCGGCGGAACUCCCGAUCUAUUGUCUGUUCUGGAAGUUUUAGGAUACGUAGGUAUAUAUGGGUGUAGGAAGUACGUCGGUGGAGCUACGGGGGCCCCACGAGGCAGGGGGCGCGCCCUAGGGGGGGGGCACCCCCCACCCUCGUGAGCACCUCCCUUGGCUCCUGAUGUGGGGUCCAAGUCCAUCCGGUAGCUUUCCUUCCAAAAAUAACUUCUCCAGUUGAUUUCGUUCUGUUUCGACUCCGUUCGAUAUUCCUUUUCUUCGAAACAAUGAAAUAGGCAAAAACAACAAUUCUGGGCUGGGCCUCCGGUUAAUAGGUUAGUCCCAAAAAUAAUAUAAAAGUGGAUAAUAAAGCCCAAUAUUGCCCAAAACAGUAGAUAACAUAGCAUGGAGCAAUCAAAAAUUAUAGAUACAUUGGAGAUGUAUUAGUUCCCACCGCCGUGCUCUCUCUCUCUCGCCGUGGUCACCGCCGUGCUCUCUAUCGCCGUGGUCACCGCCGAUGUCGCCCGCUUAUAUAGCACACCCGCCAACGGCUCUCUACUCAACGGCUCUCUGCUGGGUCCCACAAGCCAGGCGUGCAACGGUCUGAAUAAAAUUGGCCGUCUCUGCCGCCUGGUCCCACCUGUAAGGGCCGAGUCAAAAGGUUGACCCGGCGGAGACGGAAGAGUUCACGGAACGAGUCGGUGCGCACGGACUAGGUGCAAAACUGAGCACAAUUCGCAUCUGAGGGCAAAACUAAGUACAUGGACACCACUGAGGACAAAAGGAUAAUUAACCCUUCCGUAAAAUGCUUGCUAAAUAUGAUGUUAAUCAUAGAAUUGCAUCUCCUUAUCACCCACAGUCUAGUGGUCAAGUAGAAUUGAGUAAUAGAGAGCUCAGAUUAAUUUUGCAAAAGACUGUUAAUAGAUCUAGAAAAAAAUUGGUCCAAGAAACUUGAUGAUGCAUUAUGGGCCUAUAGAACUGCAUAUAAAAAUCCUAUGGGUAUGUCUCCGUAUAAAAUGGUUUAUGGAAAAGCAUGUCACUUACCUCUAGAACUAGAACAUAAGGCAUAUUGGGCUAUUAAAGAACUCAAUUAUGAUUUCAAACUUGCCGGUGAGAAGAGGUUAUUUGAUAUUAGCUCACUCGAUGAAUGGAGAACCCAAGCCUACGAAAAUGCCAAGUUGUUUAAAGAAAAAGUUCAAAGAUGGCAUGACAAAAGGAUACAAAAGCGUGAGUUUAAUGUAGGUGAUUAUGUAUUGCUAUACAACUCUCGUUUAAGAUUUUUUGCAGGAAAACUUCUCUCUAAAUGGGAAGGUCCUUACGUUAUCGAGGAGGUCUAACGUUCCGGUGCCAUAAAAAUCAACAACUUCGAAGGCACAAAUCCGAAGGUGGUGAACGGUCAAAGAAUCAAACAUUAUAUCUCAGGUAAUCCCAUAAAUGUUGAAACCAAUGUUAUUGAAACUGUAACCCUAGAGAAUACAUAAGGGACACUUUUCGGAACGUUUCAGACUCCGAAAAGGAAUAGGUAUGUGGUACGAUAAGUAAACCGACUCCAAAACAGUUUUUAAGGCAAUAUUUCUCUGUUUUGGAAUAUUUAGAAAAAUAGAAAAUAAGAAGCAGUCCGGGAAGGAUAUGAGGGCUCCACGAGGGUGGAGGGUGCGCCCCCUACCUCGUGGGCACCUUGUGCGCUCUCCGGACUCCGUUUUCAUACACGACACAUAUUUUGGUCGGUUAAAAUUCAUUAUAUAAUCUCCCAGGGGUUUUGACCACCGUAUCACGCAAAAAUCUCUCGUUCUUGUUUCGAGCUGUUUUCUGCCAGGUUAUCGAAGCUAAACAUCAUGUCAUCUCCCUCCUCCUCCAACAAUGAGGGCAACGAUGCUUGGCUAAUGAAGAUAGAGCUGAAGAGAGAAGAACCCAUGGAGACCCACAAGGACGGAGGGAUCAAGAAGGCCACGGGGGACCAAGCUCUGGCCACAGAAGACAUCCUUCAACUUGAUCAUAAUCUUCUUACCCCAACUGAGAUCAAAGCUUUCAAGAUGAUCGAGUUAGCUCGUAUACAAAAUAAGUAUCUCACACGUGAAAAUAUUUUGUUGAAGGAGCAUAUCAUCGCACUCAAGGGUAUUAUCCGCAAGUUAGAAGACCUCCUACGCUCGAUGUGCGACUAUCCAUCAUCAACAACUCCACCUUCUUCGCCAACAAAGGAGACACAAUCACAUGGGUAUGGUCGUAUGGGCACUCCCCUUGGCAACUGCCAAGCUUGGGGGAGUGCCCCGGUAUCGUAUCACCAUCACUUUUAUCUUUACCGUUUUUCUUAGUUCGAUCCUUUUGGUAAUAUCUUAAUCCAGUAGAAUAAAUGUUCUUAGUAUGAUCUAGUUGUGAGUUUUGCUUUAUAAUCCUUCUAUGUAAUCGAGUCCAUGAGCUAUAUAAUAAAGAUUAGUGUUGGUCAAGGGCUUGAUUAUUUUGCCAUGAUCCUAAGGGAAUAAAAGAAAAGAGAAAGAAAGAAAAAGAAACAAAGAGAUCAUGUGAGUCUUAUGGAGAGUAAUGAGCUCACAUAGAAAAAGGUAUGAUGAAUAAAAGUUGUUGAGGGUUGACAAACAUAGUUUUGGUCAUCGUUGCAAUUAAUAGGAAGUAAUAAAGAAAUAGAGGUCUUCACAUAUAAAUAUACUAUCUUGGACAUCUUUUAUGAUUGUGAGCACUCAUUAAAAUAUGACAUGCUAAAGAGUUGACGUUGGACAAGGAAAACAAUGUAAUGGGUUAUGUUUUCUUACAUCUGAGAUAAAUUAUAUUGUCAUGGAUCAUCCAACAUGGUUGAGCUUGCCUUUCUCCCUCAUGCUAGCCAAAUUCAUCGCACGAAGUAGAGAUACUACUUGUGCUUCCAAAUACCCUUAAACCAGUUUUGCCAUAAGAAUCCACCAUACCUACCUAUGGAUUGAGUAAGAUCCUCCAAGUAAGUUGUUAUCGAUGCAAUCAAUAAAAAUUGCUCUCUAAAUAUGUAUGACUUAUUAGUGUGUAAGAAAUAAGGUUUGUACGAUCGUGUGAUACGGAAGAAAUAAAAGCGACAGAUUGCAUAAUAAAGGUCCAUAUCACAAGUGGCAAUAUAAAGUGACGUUCUUUCGCAUUAAGAUUUUGUGCAUCCAACUAUAAAAGCGCAUGACAGCCUCUACUUCCCUCUGCGAAUGGCCUAUCUUUUACUUUUAUCUCCUACAUUGCAUAAGGGUCAUGGUGAUCUUCACCCUUCCUUUUUACAUUUUAUCCUUUGGCAAGCACGGUAUGUUGGAAAGAUCCUGGUAUAUAUGGCUAAUUGGAUGUGAGUUUUCCUGAACUAUUAUUGUUGACAUUACCCUUGAGGUAAAACAUUGGGAGGCAAAACUAUAAGCCCCUAUCUUUCUCUGUGUCCGAUUAAAACUCCAUACCCAUAAGUAUUGUGUGAGCGUCAGCAAUUGUGAAAGACUAUAUGAUAGUUGAGUAUGUGACUUGCUGAAAAGCUCUUAUACAUUGACUCUUUCCUAUGUUAUGAUAAAUUGCAAUUGCUCCAAUGACUGAGAUUAUAGUUUGUUAGUUUUCAAUGAAGUUUACGAUUCAUACUUGAAAUUGUGAUUGAAUUAUUACUCUAGCAUAAGAAAUCACAUGAUAAGAAUUAUAUAAGUUGUUGUUCUAAGAAUGAUCAUGAUGCCCUCAUGUCCGUAUUUUAUUUUUAUCAACACCUCUAUCUCUAAACAUGUGGACAUAAUUUUUGAUUUCGGCUUUUCGCUUGAGGACAAGCGAGGUCUAAGCUUGGGGGAGUUGAUACGUCCAUUUUGCAUCAUGCUUUUAUAUCGAUAUUAAUUGCAUUAUGGGCUGUUAUUACACAUUAUGUCACAAUACUUAUGCCUAUUCUCUCUUAUUUUACAAGGUUUACAUGAAGAGGGAGAAUGCCGGCAGCUGGGAUUCUGGGCUGGAAAAGGAGCAAAUAUUAGAGACCUAUUCUGCACAGCUCCAAAAGUCCUGAAACUUCACGGAAGACGUUUUCAGAAUAUAUAAAAAAUACUCAGCGGAAGGGAUUCACUAGGGGGGCCACACCCUACCCACGAGGGUGGGGGCGCGCCCCCUACCUCGUGGGCCCCCUGGUGACCCUCCGGUGGCCAUCUUCUGCUAUAUGAAGUCUUUCGAUGGGAAAAAAAAUUAAGAAGCCAUCUUCUCGGACAAAACACCGCCGCCACAAGGCGGAACCUUGGCGGAACCAAUCUAGGGCUCUGGCGGAGCUGUUCUGCCGGGGAAACUUCCCUCCCGGAGGGGGAAAUCAUCAGCAUCGUCAUCACCAACGCUCCUCUCAUUGGGAGAGGGCAAUCUCCAUCAACAUCUUCAUCAGCACCAUCUCCUCUCAAAAUCCUAGUUCAUCUCUUGUAUCCAAUUCUUAUCUCUAAGUCUGGGAUUGGUACCUAUGGGUUGCUAGUAGUGUUAAUUACUCCUUGUAGUUGAUACUAGUUGAUUUAUUUGGUGGAAGAUCAUAUGUGUCAGAUCCUAUAUGCAAAUACCCCUCUGAUUAUGAACAUGAAUAUGCUUUGUGAGUAGUUAUGUUUGUUCCUGAGGACAUGGGAGAAGUCUUGCUAUUAGUAGUCAUGUGAAUUUGGUAUUCGUUCGAUAUUUUGAUGAGAUGUAUGUUGUCUCUCCUCUAGUGGUGUUAUGUGAACAUCGACUACAUGACACUUCACCAUUAUUUGGGCCUAGAGGAAGGCAUUGGGAAGUAAUAAGUAGAUGAUGGGUUACUAGAGUGACAAAAGCUCAAACCCUAGUUUAUGUGUUGCUUCGUAAGGGGCUUAUUUGGAUCCAUAUGUUUCAUGCUAUAGUUAGGUUUACCUUAAUACUUUUGUUGUAAUUGUGGAUGCUUGCAAUAGAGGUUAAUCAUAAGUGGGAUGCUUGUCCAAGUAAGGACAGUACCCAAGCACCGGUCCACCCACAUACCAACUUAUCAAAGUACCGAACGCGAAUCAUAUGAGUGUGAUGAAAACUAGCUUGAUGAUAUUUCCUUGUGUCCCCGGGAGCGCUUUUCUCUAUAUAAGUGUUUGUCCAGGCUUGUCCUUUGCUACAAAAAGGAUUGGGCCACCUUGCUACACUUUAUUUACUUUUGUUACUUGUUGCUCAUUACAAAUUAUCCUAUCACAAAACUAUCUGUUACCACUUGUUUCAGUACUUGCAGAGAAUACCUUGCUGGAAACCGCUUAUCAUUUCCUUCUGCUCCUCGUUGGGUUCGACACUUUUACUUAUUGAAAGGAAUACGAUAGAUUCCCUAUACUUGUGGGUCAUCAGGUCGCGCGGUGGAGUUGGCCUAAGGGCAUGGCCAAUGCAUAGCCCAGGAUGAUGCCUCACAUGCCAUGUAGGAUCGGAUAAUAGAAAAGGUAGGUUCGGAUGAGGUAGCGGGAUCCUCCUCAUGAGAUGGGUGCUUAACGAUAAAAAGUUGGUCCGAUGCAUAAAGUUGAAAAGGUUGAAAUGGAGAGGAGGGAUGCAUAUGUGGUGAGAGUCACUUUCUAUUCUUUGAUGAGGUCCAUUGGUAGCAGCUUGCAUUGGGGAGAAAAAAUCAACACAUAUGUUUCAAAUUACUUUUUGUCAUGAGGCAUCUGUAUUCAUAUGCAACCAUUGUACAUGCCCUAAGAAUAACUCUAGCAUGGUCAGCAUAUCAACAGCUUCAAAAAGCUUUCCAAGUUUUUUUAUUUUGGCUGCAAAAACUUGUGCCUUUGUGCAAACAUAUAGUUGCCAAAAAUGAUAGCUUAUUUUUUUCGGUUGAUUCCAGCUAUUUGCAUAUAAAGGUUAUUGAAGUAUACCAUUAAUACGAAUGCGAUUAGCUAAAUGUAUUUAUUUAUCUUUUUUGAGAUGAAGAGGUUACUUGUUCCUCAUAUCUUCGUACCAGAAUGUCUGUCAUUCACCCCUGCCCAUUGGCGCCCUCCUCUCUUGCUCCCUUUUCUUAGGGGUAAAACCGUCCUAUUUUUCAAAAGGCAUCGGGAAUUGUCAAUGCGACGACAUGCUGAAUACAGUCCGAUGGAAUAUCAAACAAACCUUAGAGUUCAUUGCUUCCAUUUGCUGAUCUCCUCGGUCCUCACCCAUUUGAUCUUGUGGUCAUCACAAGAUUUGAGCAUGCCCUUGAUUUCUUCAACAACCGGCCCAUCUGCACAGAGGAUUUUUGCUAUCGUUUUUUUUUGCGAGAAAAUUUCCGAUCUAUUCAUCAACUGUCAAGGUAGUACAAAGAACAUCAGAAGUAAAAAUUACAACCAGGUCCGUAGGCCACUUUGCGAUGACUACAUGCACUGGAGCGAGCCGAAGGCAUGCCAAGCAUGCUUACCAUGCUUUUACAGAUAUGAUGUCAUGCAAGGUACUUCCUACUAGUUUCAAAGAAUAUCUUACAUUACAGGACAUAGAGUGUACACUAGAGGUGAGCCCAUGCUCGACAUGCAGGGCCUUUCGGCCCUUGAGAGGGAGGGCUAGCUCUGCAUAAAGGGUGCAUGAUUCAAAUACAGCGAAGGGAAACCGGCACAACUUUUUGGUCCUGGUGCCUGUUGGUUUUCACUUUUUAUCGUGAUUCUAGAGAAGAUGGAUUCAACUACUCGGACUUAUGGCAUUUAUUUAACAUAAGAAAACUAGACAUGCUCAUGAUGAGGCUAUGGACUCUUUUCCAAUCCAAAGAGGUCAGGCACAUUAGGGACAGACGUUGAUUUCAUUGAUCUGUGUCCUUGUUAGCGGUGCCCGGGUCCGGAUCUGGGAGUCGAAGCUCGUCGCGUCUGUCCUGGGUUUACCGUGGGAUACGGGUGAGUUGCCGAGCGAAAGCUCCGUGCUUUGGCACCGAUGACGGCGAAGCCUGCGGGCACCACUAUCUUCUUGAAGAUGUUGUCCUUGUUCUCCUCUCUGUGUCCGGGCUCUGGGUGAAGACCCUUGUCCACUCCGGACUCGGCAGUGGCGACGCUAUGCGCCGUUCUCCCUCUUGAGGGCGCCGUCGUGGAGCCUAGGUGUGCUAAGGCAUGGCGUUGUACUCUGAUCUCCCCUUGUUCUUCUUCGGUAUCGUAGGUCUGCAUCGUACCGAGAUCUCAAAAUCUGCUUUGUAAGAGGACCACCUCUCCACUAUGUAUCUUUCGGCCGUGUAUUUUGGUCGGUGCUUUAUCUGUAAAGUGGGGCGUGAGCCUGUUUUGAGGAGUGCCUUUGCACCUGGUACUAGCUCAAAAAAAGGAAAAAAAACUUUGUUUUUGCCCACUUUGUUUAUACCACUCUAGUUUUUGCCUACUUUAUUUAUACCACUCUAGAAUUUAACAUCUCAUUUUUGUCAUUCUAGGCUUUUGACAAUGUAUCACAAAUGCUAUUUGUUGCAAAAGCAAAACUAUUUCAUUUCACUUGGGACACUCUUAGCUUUUGACAAUGCACAAUUGCCAAGAGUGACAAAAGUGAAAUAUGAAAAAACUAAAGUGGCAUAAAUAAAAUGGGCAGAAACUAGAGUGACAAAAACAAGGUCCCCUUCCCCCUAUGUAUCCGAGUACUUUGCGGGGCGUGGGGAGCUCAGAAAGAUAAAUCAUGCAUCAACAUGGCGUAUGAAUCCACGUCAGUUUUACAACCUAAUCAAAAUCUAUUUGUUACACACGUAGUAACGCCCUUUGGUUCCUUAUGCAUAACCGACCAGCGGAUCCUUGUGGUCAUUCUAUGAUAAUACUUCCUCCGUUUCAGUUUACAAAUCCUGCGCAUAUAUCUAGGUUGUCAAUUUUAUCAUCCUAAUAUAAACUAUAUAACAUGAAAAUUAUACCGUUUAAAAAUAGAACAUCUGAAGUUUAUAUUGAUAUAUUUUUUGUAAUAUAUGACUUGUAUUAGAUUGAUCAAAUUGACAACCUAGGGUACGCGCACGCUUUGUAAACUAAGAAAGAGAGGGAGUACUAUGAGAAUCAAAGGUGGUAAUGGCCUCAACAAAUGAGACCUCAAAGAUAUCAAGGACGCCAUAGAACUCCCUCCGUCCGGUGACAUCUAGCUUCAAAUUUUGUCCACAAAAAAAUAUACUUCUAUCUUCCUAAUGCACUUUAAAGUAGAGAAAAAAUACUUCUCUCUCAUCACACUGUAAUCAAGACCAAUAGCAAUCUACACAUAAUCUUUUUAAUUUCUACAUGCACUUGGCUCAUAGGGGGUUGAGUAAUUAAAAAGGAGAUAGAUGGUGGCUUGCACCUUUCCAAUGCAUUUUUUAUUCAAGUCCAUAAUUUAUCCUAAAAUUUUUAGAUGUACACUCUUCAUUGGACGGAGGGAGUACGUUUUACUACUUGUCUAGGCACACCAAUGAAGCAACCUAUGCCCGUAAAGAUUGCUGCAAUCUCAUCCACCACUGCUUUCCCCGUUUGCAAUAAUGCACUACUUCUACGUUUGCAAUAAUGUUUUCCAAAUGAUAAUACUCACACGUGUGGCGAAGCAAUUUCGUCCACACGUUUUUUGAUCGCAACUUUAGUUACCAACUUUAAUUGUGAAGCAUGAUAAUUUUCUAUUUGGUUGGCAAGUUUCAAUUUUUUGAGAUCCUUUUUUCUGGAUGACAAUUUUAAUGUAAAAAACAUGUGGACGGUGUUACUACAUGCUACACGUGUGACAAUUAUCGGGGUCCUAAUGUUUUGCAAUAACCACCGGGAAGCGUCACGUCUAGUUUUACAUGUACGCCAAUAUGUGUGUGUUAGUUCGUGAGUACAAUCCAGUGAAGAGUCAUAGUAAUUUCAAAAACAGCAUGAGCUUGAUACAACACAAAUAUAUGCAUUUACCUUAUCUUGCCGUCCCAUGCAGAUAUACGAGUACAUUUGUCUUGUUUGAGUUUCUUAUUAUUAUACUCUCUCCGUUCCUAAAUAUUUGUUUUUAUAGACAUUUCAAAUGACUACUACAUACGGAUGUAUGUAGACAUAUUUUAGAGUGUAGAUUCACUCAUUUUACUUCGUAUGUAGUCAUUUGUUGAAAUGCCUAUAAAGACAAGUAUUUAGGAACGGAGGAAGUACUAAAUAAAAAGGCCGCACUCCUCAGAUCACGUGUAGGAGUGUAUCCCUAUCCCACAUGGAUGGAUAUUUUUAUUCGAGCUCACAUUGCAUCUCACCCUCCCUAUCCACACACAGUCAGCCAGCGUGCACCUCGGGCUUCUUCCCAAAUCAUACUGCAAUAAGCUGAGGGUGUCUUUUCUGCAUGGUAUAAAGCUGAGGGUGUUGUUGUGUCUCAGUUGUUCAUUACGGAGUACUGUAUUUUUUAGGAACAGCGUUUAUACUUUAUACCAAAAUCCCGCAGAAAUCAAUCUCUCUAUCUCUCUCUUUGGAUGAGUCGAUGCAUAAAUUAAUUUGUUUUUUCUUUGAGGUUUUGCAGAAAUCAAUCAUGUGAACCAAAGUGGGCCUCACCAGAGCAUUGCAUGGGCCGGGAUGGCAAAGCAGCAGCUCCGGUCCGCCAUCGUACCGGCCCAUAAUAUUCCGAAAAGCCCAACAAGCCCAUAUACCCCUUGCAUCACACGCAAAACUAGGCUUUCGCCCAACAAAAAAAACGAGGGAAGAAGAUCAAAUGCAUCAAUGAAAAACAGGGGGCAGUGAAUAGCACAUGUUAAUUACUCUAAUUAUUCAACAACACUUGGUCGGAAACCACACGGAGUUGCUACACUCGUACUCCACACCACAGGGAAGAAGAAAAUCGGCCGGUCGAGAUACACAAAUCGCAGGGACGCACAGCACUGGAGCAAGCAAGUACUGUAGCAUCCACACCACACACUAGUAUAGUAAAGCUAUGGCGAGCCGAGCGGCCACGCAGGCUAGGCGUCGAGGUCGGUGGGGCACUGGAAGCCGUUGGGCGGGUGCUUGCCGCAGGUGAUGAGCAGCCGGAGCGCCACGGGGAGGUAGAUGUUGAUGUUGAGCACCCGCGCCCGGAUGGUGGUGCAGAGGCACAGCGCCGCGUCCAGGUCCGCCACCCCCUGCACCAGCGGGCAGCACUUGCUCCGCGCCUCCCGCCCGAUCACCAGGUGCACCAGCCCGCUCAGCACGUCCACGCACGCGUUCAGCUUCAGCGCGUCGAUCGGGCACGUCUUCCUCCCCGGCCCCGGCGACGGCGGCGGCACGUAGGGCGGUGUCGGUGGCACGUAGGGCGGUGACGGCGUGUAUGGUGGAGUUGGCGGGACGUAGGGCGGAGUGUAUGGCGGCGUCGGCGGGACGUAUGGUGGCACGUAUGGCGGUGGAAGUGGCGUUGGUGGCACGUACGGCGGACUUGGAGGAAUGUACGGUGGCGUCGGCGGGGUGUAGGGCGGUGGGCUCGGCGUGGGCGGCACGUACGGCGGUGGCAGUGGCGUAGGAGGGCCGUAUGGUGGAGUCGGCGGUGGACGCGGCGUCGGCGGCGGGUGGCACGGCGGGCAUUUGUGGCCCGACGGAGGGCCGUGGUGGUGCUUGGGCGGCUUGCCGUGGUGGGGCGGGUGGUGGUGUCCAGGAUCACCACCACCACCACCGCCGCCAUGUCCCGGCGGGCAGUUGCUCUCGUGCCACCCGUACGUGCCGGGCAGGAGCAGGACGACGGCGACGCCAACAAGCAGUAGCGAACACACUCUGGCAAGGCUGGCCAUGGCGCCGGGGCGUCCGGACAGUGCGCGAUCCCAAUGCCAAUGCGGUGCCAUGAGACGCACCCGUCCACUCAAUUUAUAGAGGGGACAUGCCAGACGCCCGCGCCAUGCCGCGCGCCAGGUGUUCGACGGGAGCCCACCUGGCGACCGAUGGCGCAAGAGGCCACGGGCGGCGCGGGGCUCACGGUCACGGGCGCGCACUGCACGCAUACAGAGGCGUCGCUUCUCUAGUUGUACUCCAU